AUUGAACGCUGGCGGCAUGCUUUACACAUGCAAGUCGAACGGUAACAGGCCGCAAGGUGCUGACGAGUGGCGAACGGGUGAGUAAUGCAUCGGAACGUGCCCAGUCGUGGGGGAUAACUACUCGCAAGAGUAGCUAAUACCGCAUACGAUCUAUGGAUGAAAGCGGGGGACCGUAAGGCCUCGCGCGAUUGGAGCGGCCGAUGUCAGAUUAGGUAGUUGGUGGGGUAAAGGCUCACCAAGCCAACGAUCUGUAGCUGGUCUGGGAGGACGACCAGCCACACUGGGACUGAGACACGGCCCAAACUCCUACGGGAGGCAGCAGUGGGGAAAUUUGGACAAUGGGGGCAAGCCUGAUCCAGCAAUGCCGCGUGCAGGAAGAAGGCCUUCGGGUUGUAAAAUGGUUUUGUAAGGGAAGAAACCGGCUCGGGUAAAACCCCGGGGGAAUGACGGUACCGUAAGAAUAAGCACCGGCUAACUACGUG
rnacentral:rRNA from 1 species